rnacentral:rRNA from 1 species
AGUGAACGCUGGCGGUAGGCCUAACACAUGCAAGUCGAACGGCAGCACAGUAAGAGCUUGCUCUUACGGGUGGCGAGUGGCGGACGGGUGAGGAAUACAUCGGAAUCUACUUUUUCGUGGGGGAUAACGUAGGGAAACUUACGCUAAUACCGCAUACGACCUACGGGUGAAAGCAGGGGAUCUUCGGACCUUGCGCGAUUGAAUGAGCCGAUGUCGGAUUAGCUAGUUGGCGGGGUAAAGGCCCACCAAGGCGACGAUCCGUAGCUGGUCUGAGAGGAUGAUCAGCCACACGAGAACUGAGACACGGUCCAGACUCCGACGGGAGGCAGCAGUGGGGAAUAUUGGACAAUGGGCGCAAGCCUGAUCCAGCCAUACCGCGUGGGUGAAGAAGGCCUUCGGGUUGUAAAGCCCUUUUGUUGGGAAAGAAAAGCAGCAGGUUAAUACCCCGCCGUUCUGACGGUACCCAAAGAAUAAGCACCGGCUAACUUCGUG